UCAGGCCUACGGGAGGCAGCAGUGGGGAAUAUUGCACAAUGGGGGAAACCCUGAUGCAGCGACGCCGCGUGAGUGAAGAAGUAAUUCGUUACGUAAAGCUCUAUCAGCAGGGAAGAAAUACUGACCUUACGGUCAGCAGACGGUACCUGAGUAAGAAGCCCCGGCUAACUACGUGCCAGCAGCCGCGGUAAUACGUAGGGGGCAAGCGUUAUCCGGAAUCACUGGGUGUAAAGGGAGCGUAGACGGCUGUGCAAGCCUGAAGUGAAAGGCGGGGGCCCAACCCCUGGACUGCUUUGGGACAUGUA
rnacentral:rRNA from 1 species